CCAUUUAGAAAAAUCCUGCCCAACCAUUAACCCUGUUCUAAUUCUCACAUUCUCAUCACUUUACCCAUUAAAAAACAAAUAAUACAGAGUCAACGCUCUUCAAUUUUCUCUCAGUCGCUUGUAAUAAUCUCUUAGAAGAAGUCCCAGAGAUAAGAUCAUUGAGAAGCAAAACUGUGUGUGGAAAUAAGCAAGUCAAUUAGCGCGAGAAAAGAAAAAAUAACGACACCUCCGUGAUAGUGUCGUCCUUGUCAUCUGAGGUCUUGCACAGAGGCUGCUGCUGCAAUUUGGUCCAGCAAUGGCUUCAGAGAAGAAAUUGAGCAACCCCAUGAGGGACAUCAAGGUUCAGAAGCUUGUCCUCAAUUGUCUCUGUAUUAUCUUUGUUUUAAUGGGUAAAGUGAUAUGACAGAAUAGGUACUAGGAUCGGGUUAAUGGUUGGGUGAGAUUUUACUAAAUGGGUCGAAUAUAAUAUUAAAUAGAAAGUAGUUUUUCUAUUAUAAUGAAUGUAUAUACACAUGGAGCCACGUAGGCUUAUAGAAAUAGUGACAUGAUAACUUAACGUUACAAGGAAAAAUGUGUGCCUAAAGCAGGAUGGUAAGGGCAAAUAUAUCAAAAAAGUAUAGCGAAUGGUAAAUAUGACUCUUUUCUAAGGGUACAAGGGCAAAUAUGACCCUUUUUCGUAUUUAUAAACAACUAAUUUUUCGA